GUGAAUCAUCGAAUCUUUGAACGCACCUUGCACUCCUUGGUAUUCCGAGGAGUAUGCCUGUUUGAGUGUCAUGAAUUUCUCAACUUCAUGGUUUUAUUAUUAUUACUGUGAUGCUUGGUUUUGGAAGUUUGCUGGCGAAAGUCGGCUCUUCUUAAAUGUAUUAGCUGCUUGUCUGUAAGUUGGCUCAGAGUGUGAUAAGUAUCUACACUUGGUGGCUGCUUCCAUCAGAUGUAGCUUCUAAUCGUCUUCGGACAAUUUCUUAAGAUCUGACCUCAAAUCAGGUAGGACUACCCGCUGAACUUAAGCAUAUCAAUAAGCGGAGG
rnacentral:rRNA from 1 species